rnacentral:rRNA from 1 species
AGCUCCAAUAGCGUAUAUUUAAGUUGUUGCAGUUAAAAAGCUCGUAGUCGGAUGUCGGGCGUCGGCCGUGCCGGUCCGCCUUCAGGUGUGCACUGGCGUCGGCCCGCCUUACUGCCGGGGACGGGCUCCUGGGCUUGAUUGCUUGGGACCCGGAGUCGGCAUGGUUACUUUGAGUGAAUUGGAGUGUUCAAGGCAGGCCUACGCCCUGGACAUGAAAGCAUGGAAUGACACGAUAGGACUCUGGCCUAUUCCGUCGGUCUGUGGGACCGGAGUAAUGAUUAACAGAGACGGUCGGGGGCAUGCGUACUCCGUGGUCAGAGGUGAAAUUCUUGGAUUCACGGAAGACGGACUUCUGCGAAAGCACUUGCCAAGGACGUUUUCA